rnacentral:rRNA from 1 species
UACGUAGGGAGCAAGCGUUAUCCGGAUUUACUGGGUGUAAAGGGCGUGUAGGCGGGCAUGCAAGCCAGAAGUGAAAUCUGGGGGCUUAACCCCCAAACUGCUUUUGGAACUGCGUGUCUUGAGUGAUGGAGAGGCAGGCGGAAUUCCCAGUGUAGCGGUGAAAUGCGUAGAUAUUGGGAGGAACACCAGUGGCGAAGGCGGCCUGCUGGACAUUAACUGACGCUGAGGCGCGAAAGCGUGGGGAGCAAACA